rnacentral:rRNA from 1 species
AAAUUGAAGAGUUUGAUCAUGGCUCAGAUUGAACGCUGGCGGCAGGCCUAACACAUGCAAGUCGAGCGGAAACGAGCUAUCUGAACCUUCGGGGGACGAUAACGGCGUCGAGCGGCGGACGGGUGAGUAAUGCCUAGGAAAUUGCCCUGAUGUGGGGGAUAACCAUUGGAAACGAUGGCUAAUACCGCAUGAUGCCUACGGGCCAAAGAGGGGGACCUUCGGGCCUCUCGCGUCAGGAUAUGCCUAGGUGGGAUUAGCUAGUUGGUGAGGUAAGGGCUCACCAAGGCGACGAUCCCUAGCUGGUCUGAGAGGAUGAUCAGCCACACUGGAA